rnacentral:tRNA from 1 species
GCCCUUGUAGCUCAGUGGUAGAGCAUUCCACUCGUAAUGGAAGGGUCGCUGGUUCAAAUCCAGUCAAGGGCU